rnacentral:rRNA from 1 species
GGACUACAAGGGUAUCUAAUCCCGUUCGCUACCCUGGCUUUCGUGUGUGAGCGUCAGGAACGCGCUAAUAGAGUGCCUUCGCCUUUGGUGUUCCCCAUGAUAUCAACGGAUUUCACCCCUCCACCAUGAGUUCCCUCUAUCUCUCGCGCCCUCGAGCUUUGCCGUUUCCCCCGCGCGCUAUAGGUUGAGCCCAUAGAUUUUACGGGAGACUAACAAAGCCGCCUGGACACCCUUUACGCCCAGUGAUUCCGGGUAAUGCUCGGGGCCUCUGUAUUACCGCGGCUGCUGGCAC